rnacentral:rRNA from 1 species
UACGGAGGGUGCAAGCGUUGAUCGGAAUUACUGGGCGUAAAGCGUACGCAGGCGGUUUGUUAAGUCAGAUGUGAAAUCCCGGGGCUCAACCUGUGAACUGCAUCUGAUACUGGCAGGCUUGAGUCUUGUAGAGGGGGGUAGAAUUCCUGGUGUAGCGGUGAAAUGCGUAGAGAUCUGGAGGAACACCGGUGGCGAAGGCGGCCCCCUGGACGAAGACUGACGCUCAGGUGCGAAAGCGUGGGGAGCAAACAGG